GCAUAAAUAAACCCUGGGAGUACAGAUGGGAGGCCGGCUAGGCUGGCUCCACUUCCUGGUCUCAUCACAGGGGAGUCCGUGUGGAAGCCCUGGGAGGCACCUCAGCCAUUUUCCAGGCCAACGACUGCAUUUGUCAGACGAGAAAAGCCAGAGGUUAAGGGACUUGCCAAAAGUCACACAGUGAGUCAACUGAAAAGCAGUAAGAGGUGGUGGCUAAGAGCACAGCAUGACUCCAUUGCCCUUGGCUUUGGCAAGUGACUGAAGUUCUCAGUUUCCUCAUACCAUGAGUGUGAGCGGAGCAGCGACACCACUGUUCACAGGCUUGCUGCGAGGAUGGGAGGCAGCAGCGAGGGGACGGAGCCCUCCCAGCAGUAAACCGCAACUGUGACCCCCUAAUUCAAAGCUCCUCCCCUCGGCGGCAGCGAGGACAACGGCUUUCAGUUUGAAGAAUGGUGGCUGUUACACUAAGAUGGAGCCAGAGCAUCUCGGGAUGCUGUCCGACACUCCGAGGGCAGCAGAACUCUCGCUGGGUGGCUGAUGGCAGACCCAUUCUCUUGCCUCGAAUGCAGCAGACUGACCGCUUCCAGUCCUGUGCUGUCCCACUCCGCAUGAUCAGCAGUGGACGAUCACAAUGGGAAUGGCCGAAUGAACAGGAGAACAUGCAGCCUGCAGUCUCUGGGUAUUUUCUGUCACCAUGGAGAAUGGUAGAGGCUGGAAAAGGUCAAAAGGACACGGCCUACGAGCUGAGGCGGCAGAGCAGUGAAGCCUGUUGGAAAGUGCCAGCAUCCAAGAGGAGGAUGGUGAGAACCGUAGAGCCGGGUGCCGGGUCAGUCGGAUGGACACGGGUUCCAAGGCCACCUCUGUGCCGCCAGCUGUGGAUGUCCGAGUCUCAGUUUCCAUAUCCGUACCUAAAGGGCUGGUAGGAGUGAACGAGUUGGGCUGUGCAGGGCCCUUUGGUGUUUCAGGCGAUGUGAGUUGAAGAAGGAAUGAGCGCUUGGUCUUCAGAAGGGGCAGAGACGAGCCGCCAGGUCGGGUCAGAGUCACGGUUAACAAGCUCUCGGCUCCUCACUCCGUCGCUGUUUGGUUUUCACUGCGUCGCGAUUUUGCAGCUUUCCCACUCGGACCACCAACUUUCCUGAGCGUUUAGCCUUCUCUGCCGGCUGCCGUCCCCUCCCUCUCAGAGUCCCCCACCCCCAUCCGCAUCUACUUGAUGAUGACAGGAAUCGCCAGGGGCACCAGGCAGCUCAGAAGUAUACUCCAGGACAUGGCUGUCACACUUUUCUUUUUUCCUAAGACCCACAGUAAGAAAUAUAUUAAUAAAUUUUGCAUUGCAAAUCAACCCACACAUACAUAUAAAUGACUGAUUAAAGAAAUUUCAUGAAACACUCCCCGUCCUUCUUAUCUGCACUCUAUUAUUUUCUUUUCCAUUCCACUUCAUUCCAUUCUAUUCUACUUUAUUUUGCCUUUGAAAGUGCUGGUUACCACCCAGUAAUCUAGUUCAUUAACCAGCUGCCAGUUUGAGAAACACUGGUUUCCGGUGGGACUGCCAUGCCGUUCUCUCUGUCCAGUUGUGGACUGUAUCAGUGGCCCUAGAAACCUGUGUUCCAAUUCACAGCCUAAGAAUCAUCAGGGGCCUUGAUAAAUGUACAAAUUUCCAGGCUCCAUCCCCAGAGAUUUGACAGCGUUUCAGAGACUGGUCAGAACCAGAGUGUCUCGUGGGGUCUCCCUGGCACUGAGAUGGAGAUUCUGAUUCCAGGGAGAAAGCUUCUGAUUGGUCUAGAUGGGUCAGAGAAGGAAGAUGCCUUGAUGGGCAGUCCCACCAACACUGUAUCCCUUGGGGUGGGUAGCUCCCCAAAGUAAGUAGAAGAAAGGGUGAUGGAUGCUGCCAGGGACUGUUUGUGUCGCCCCAAAAUUCAUAUGUUGAAAUUCUGACCCCGAAUGUGAUGGUAUCUGGAGGUGGGGCCUUUGGGUUGAUUAGGUCAUGAGGUAGAACCCUCAUGAAUGGGAUUAGUGCCCUUAUUAGGAGACGCCAGAGAGCUCUCUUGUCCCUUCUGCCAUGUGAGGACACAGGGAAAAGAUGACUAUUUAUAAACCAGGAAGCAGGUCUGACUAGACUCUGAAGCUGCCAGUGCCCUGAUGUGGGACUUCCCAGCCUCAAGAACUGUGAGAAAUAAAAGUCUGUCGUUUAAUAAGCCACCCAGUCUAUGGUAUUCUGUUUUAACAGCCCAAACAGACUAAGACGCUGAGCAGGCAACAUCAAUGUCCACACAGAGACUGUUCUAGAACACCUAGGUAACAGUUUGCUAAGCUCUCCUCUGCUGCUUACAUUCUCCCGUGUGCUUUCUGGGGUGCCUAGCACAGUGCGCGCGGCAGGCAUCCAACGCGUGUGGGUUGCAUGAAAACCAACGUACAGUUGCAUUUUGACCACGAGUCUUGGUCAAAAUGAUUGGGUUUUUGACCCUGUGCUUCAUGUACACAAUUGAAGACAAAAUCCCUGAGGUCCAGUGUCUACUGAUUACAACAGAGUCCAGAAGAUUUUUUUUUUAAUUUUAUUUAACAAACUCUUACCAUGUACAAGCCAGUGUUCUGAGAGCCUUACAAAUAUUAACUUAUUAGGUCUACAUAAAACCCUCUAAGAGAGGUCCUAUUACAUGCCAGGCACUAUCUGAGGUAUUGUACCCAUGUGCUUCUAAGAUUCACACCUCUCCUGUAAGGGGCAGCGAUUAUUUUUUUCCAUAGGCGGACACUGAGACUCGGAGAGGUUAUAUAACUUGUCAUAGGCCCCACAGUAAGCAGCAGAGCUGCACUUUGAACCCUAGAAAGGAGGAAUGAGUCAGGCCAGGAGAAUCUUUGAAACUGCAUUUCAUCCUAGAGAUACCAGUUAGCUCUUGCAUGCUAAGAACAGCCACAGGUUGAAAUGCGCCAAGCCCUGAGGGAAAAAGAGCUCCCUUCUUACAAACAGAAACAGAGACAUGGAACCAAAGUGACUCACAGAAGUUCCCGCUGUGGACAGGACGCCGAUCAACACAUGGAACCUCCAGUGGCUGGCUGGGCAUUCCUAUAGCUUCGAUGUGCCCUCAUUCUGUUAAAAUGCAGUGACAAGGAAAUUCAUCACUGCUCACAUGAUUUUUGUUUUCCAAUGAGAGGAAGAAAGCUCUAUUCACUCACGGAGAGUUUUGUUCAAACAUCAAGCUCUAUUUUAAUUUUCUAGUGGCCAGUAUUGCAGUCAGCCACGCUUUAAAACAAUGACCCCGAAUUCCUCUUGCCUUCAUUGCAGUGACAAUGUUGUUACAGCUGACUAAUACUCUUUCUCAGUCUGUGUGGCUAACCAGCAUUUUCUGAGUUAAAUAUGUCUCUCAAGGUUGUCCCAGGUAGGUUCUGGGAUGGAAACUCUUGCUCCUAAUUUGGAAAAACGGUCCCUAGGGUCAUUUUUCAAUAAUAAAUAACAAGUAUAUA
rnacentral:lncRNA from 1 species